rnacentral:rRNA from 1 species
CGGGACGGGUGAGUAACACGUGGAUAACCUACCUAUAAGACUGGGAUAACUUCGGGAAACCGGAGCUAAUACCGGAUAAUAUAUUGAACCGCAUGGUUCAAUAGUGAAAGACGGUUUUGCUGUCACUUAUAGAUGGAUCCGCGCCGCAUUAGCUAGUUGGUAAGGUAACAGCUUACCAAGGCAACGAUGCGUAGCCGACCUGAGAGGGUGAUCGGCCACACUGGAACUGAGACACGGUCCAG